rnacentral:lncRNA from 1 species
UUCAGACGCCCAAUCAUCACAUCAUAUCCUAUCCUGCGUACCGGCCGAGCUUGACGUGAGGUGAAGUGUUACCGACCCUAGCUUCUCGCUCGCUCCAUCGACGAUUGAUCCAGGAAUUGGAUGUGUGUGUGUUUUUUUUUUCUCGGAUUGAUCGAACUGCUCGCCGCGCCGUGUCCUUUCAGGAUAACCAGCUGACUUGAGAGGCGCAGAACGGGCGGCGUGCAGCGGCCAACAGCCAACGGAGGGAGGAAUGAUGCGAUGCAGUGCAGUAGUGCAGGUGUGUGGUACUAUUAUCUAUCUGGGGGAUUUGGGUGCAGCGAGCGUGCGUUAUCCUCUGGGGCUGCUUUCUGCCUGCUCAUCGGAUCGGGCCGAGAUUUCCGAAUAUAUGCACGCCGAAUCCGAAUCAGAAUCCGGGUGACGGAAGGCGUAUGUUGUAACAAUUUGCUGACGGGGUGAGUCCACCUGCUUUCACACGAACGAACACUCACGAGUCAGGACUCAGGAGAUCAGGAGACAGUGCCACAGACCCACAGUGGCACGGUUUGCCAAGAACAGAGAUUAGGGAAAGAAAUUCCCAAUUGCGUGAGCUUUGCACCCAGGAUACUGGGGGGGGGGGCGACCUGAGACCGCAAAAUAACAUUCCACAAAAAGCGUGGGAAUGUCUCCAUGAAGUUUCAUUGGAAGUAGGACGAACACUAGCACCCGACAAUGGCGACAAAGACCUCCAAAGGUUUCCGUUGUACACUGCAGCGCAAGAGGUUCAAAGUUGACCUGUGGAUGUGUUGCAAGUUUCACCGGGCCCAAACAACAGCAUUUAAUUUGCAGAGACAACAAACCAGAGUUAGAAAUGAUGAACCCAAGUUCAAGGACAGACUCAGCACAUGAAACAUCAUCAGACGAAGAAGACAAAUGCAUGGCUGUGUUCUUUGUGAUCUCGAUGUUGAGGAGACCUCGCACCAUCUCUUCCUUCGGUGUCAGUUUGCAAAGCAGUGUUGGGAACUAACCAGUGUACACAUACCUCUUGCUGCUGACCUCCCCUGAUGCAAUGACAUGUCUCAAAGAUGCCCUUCACAAAAUCACACCCAAUUCUUUAUGGCAGCCAUCAUCUUGCUCUGUUGGGCAACCUGGGGGUUCGUGCAACGAUUUCAUUUUCAUGUGUUUACAACAAAAUUUACCAGUCUGUCGGGCAACUUUUUUCAGGGAACUGCGCAACUUAUGAAUCAGAGAGUCAGUUUAUGAAACGCAGAAACCUCUGUGAUCAAUGGACUCAAUCACUGGUUGACUCCCUCUCUCUAGGCUGAAGCUCGUUUUCUUUUUAAUCUUCUUUGUAUCUUGACUUCCUUUUCUUUUCGGUUCCCUCUGUUUUUUCUGUUUCUGUUGUAAGCUUGUCCACUUCUAACCAAAGACAAGGAGAUAAUUUAGAGAAGAGGGUAACCCCGCUUUUAUUACUAAAA